UGAGCAAUCUGCCCUUCACAUCGGAAUAACCAUUGGAAACGAUGGCUAAUACCGAAUAUGACUUCGGAUCGCAUGAUCUGAAGUGGAAAGCUCCGGCGGUGAAGGAUGAGCUCGCGGCCUAUCAGCUUGUUGGUGAGGUAAUAGCUCUCCAAGGCGAUGACGGGUAGCCGGCCUGAGAGGGUGACCGGCCACACUGGGACUGAGACACCGGCA
rnacentral:rRNA from 1 species